rnacentral:rRNA from 1 species
GACGAACGCUGGCGGCGUGCUUAACACAUGCAAGUCGAACGAAGUGGCGGACGGGUGAGUAACGCGUAAUCAACCUGCCCUUCAGAGGGGGACAACAGUUGGAAACGACUGCUAAUACCGCAUACGGAAGAGGGGCAUGCCGUCUGAUUAGCUAGUUGAGGGGUCACGGCCCACCAAGGCGAUGAUCAGUAGCCGGUCUGAGAGGAUGAACGGCCACAUUGGGAACGAUACACGGCCCAGACCCCUACGGGAGGCAGCAGGGGGGAAUCUUCCAGAAUGGACGAAAGGCUGACGGAGCAACGCCGCGGGAGUGAUGACGGCCUUCGGGUUGUAAAGCUCUGUUAAUCGGGACGCGGUACCGGAAUAGAAAGCCACGGCUAACUACGUGCCAGCAGCCGCGGUAAUAC